CCCGAAGGUCCCCGGACAAAGAGGUGAUUUGGACCGCACCUCUAAAGCCUGGGAAAGAGUGAAGACAGUGCGUGACAGGCUUUUGAUCCCCGCCUCGCCUGCCCCCAAGUCACUGAAUGGCCGAAAGCACCCCGAAAAGAGUGUGGGUGGGAAAUGACUCCUGUCCAGCUGGGACUGCUAGGGCUGAAUGAAUAACGAAGGUGACAACUGGCGGUUUAAUAUGCUUGGCGGUGAAGGUGGAGAAUGCUGCGGGAUCUGAACCCCAGAUUUGCUACUUAGCCAGACCUCAUUGGCUCAAAUGUGAAAAGAGGCAUGGUCUGAAUAAAUAGAUCAGAUGGGAAGAGAUGUGUAUCGUGUUUCCUUUUCCAUCUGGACCAUCACGUCUGGCAUUGGGCUCCCUUGAAG
ensembl:lncRNA